rnacentral:rRNA from 1 species
AGAGUUUGAUCCUGGCUCAGGAUGAACGCUGGCGGCGUGCCUAACACAUGCAAGUCGAACGAAGCACUUAACUCAGAUUUCUUCGGAAUGAAGAGUUUUGUGACUGAGUGGCGGACGGGUGAGUAACGCGUGGGUAACCUGCCUUAUACAGGGGGAUAACAGUUAGAAAUGACUGCUAAUACCGCAUAAGCACACAGUAUUGCAUGAUACAGUGUGAAAAACUCCGGUGGUAUAAGAUGGACCCGCGUCUGAUUAGCUGGUUGGUGGGGUAACGGCCUACCAAGGCGACGAUCAGUAGCCGGCCUGAGAGGGUGAACGGCCACAUUGGGACUGAGACACGGCCCAAACUCCUACGGGAGGCAGCAGUGGGGAAUAUUGCGCAAUGGGGGAAACCCUGACGCAGCAACGCCGCGUGAAGGAAGAAGGCCUUCGGGUUGUAAACUUUUGUCCUAUGGGAAGAAACAAAUGACGGUACCAUAGGAGGAAGCCACGGCUAACUACGUACCAGCAGCCGCGGUAAUACGUAGGUGGCAAGCGUUGUCCGGAUUUACUGGGUGUAAAGGGCGCGUAGGCGGGUAUUUAAGUCAGAUGUGAAAUACCGGGGCUCAACUCCGGGGCUGCAUUUGAAACUGGAUAUCUUGAGUGCAGGAGAGGUAAGUGGAAUUCCUAGUGUAGCGGUGAAAUGCGUAGAUAUUAGGAGGAACACCAGUGGCGAAGGCGACUUACUGGACUGUAACUGACGCUGAGGCGCGAAAGCGUGGGUAGCAAACAGGAUUAGAUACCCUGGUAGUCCACGCCGUAAACGAUGGAUACUAGGUGUAGGAGGUAUCGACCCCUUCUGUGCCGGAGUUAACACAAUAAGUAUCCCACCUGGGGAGUACGAUCGCAAGAUUGAAACUCAAAGGAAUUGACGGGGGCCCGCACAAGCAGUGGAGUAUGUGGUUUAAUUCGAAGCAACGCGAAGAACCUUACCAGGGCUUGACAUCCCGGUGACCGGCCUAGAGAUAGGUUUUCCUUUCGGGGCACCGGUGACAGGUGGUGCAUGGUUGUCGUCAGCUCGUGUCGUGAGAUGUUGGGUUAAGUCCCGCAACGAGCGCAACCCCUAUUACUAGUUGCUACGCAAGAGCACUCUAGUGAGACUGCCGUUGACAAAACGGAGGAAGGUGGGGAUGACGUCAAAUCAUCAUGCCCCUUAUGACCUGGGCAACACACGUACUACAAUGGCCGUCAACAAAGGGAAGCAAUACAGCGAUGUGGAGCAAAUCCCCAAAAACGGUCUCAGUCCGGAUUGCAGUCUGCAACUCGACUGCAUGAAGCUGGAAUCGCUAGUAAUCGCAAGUCAGCCAUAUUGCGGUGAAUACGUUCUCGGGCCUUGUACUCACCGCCCGUCA